GCCCCCCUGGACAGGACCCACUCUACUGAUCAAGCAAGGCUGAACAGUCCCACAGCCCUAAACACAGCUGCAAAGUGUCCUUGUGCCCAUCACCCUCGAUCCAGCAGGGCUGCAGAGGGAACAAACUCUCACUUUAACUGAAAAGACAAAACCUUGUACAGGGCCUGGCCUGGAAGGCCUGGAUGUGAUGGCCUCUCCCAGGGAGAGAGACCAGAGGCCCUAGGAGGCUGUCAAGAAAGAUGUCUGUGAGUAGUCCACCAAAGGGACUGAACAUUUGCAGCAAGGAAAGCAGAGACCUGGGAGGACCAAAUGCAGACAAGCCUUCUGUGAGGAUGAGCAAGCAGUUCUGAGCAAGGAGCAGGGAAAUAAAGGAAAGAGGGACUCUAAGUUGUUGAACUUGGCUGCAGCACUGCAGGAUGCAGAUAUUUCUUUUGUCUGUGAUAAAUAUCACUCUAUUUAGCAGCUUCUGAAUUCCUAGGCUAAAAUGCUGCUUCCACAGGAACUUCUACAGAUGAUUUUGGGUUAGACUGUCAAAUUAAGGACUCAUUCAGAGGUCCUGUCUAAGAAGACCAACAUAUUUUAUAAACAAUAUUCACUUUCCAUAAA